GGAUUAGAUACCCUGGUAGUCCACGCAGUAAACGAUGAGAACUGGAUGAGGGUGGAGUAAAAUCCAUCCGUAUCGAAGCUAACGCGUUAAGUUCUCCGCCUGGGGAGUACGGCCGCAAGGUUAAAACUCAAAGAAAUUGACGGGGGCCCGCACAAGCGGUGGAGUAUGUGGUUUAAUUCGAUGCAACGCGAAGAACCUUACCUGGUCUUGACAUGUCGAGAAUCCUGCAGAGAUGCGGGAGUGCCUUCGGGAACUCGAACACAGGUGCUGCAUGGCUGUCGUCAGCUCGUGCCG
rnacentral:rRNA from 1 species